GACGCUUUCUCUCAGUGGAAAGGGCUUGGUGGUGGUACCUGGAGGCCCUGGUGCAAGGCCAGGCUUGUUCAAGAGGAUGUCUACCUUCUGCCCCAGCCCGGAUACUGCGCCUUUGCAUUCCCCUCUUAUCUUUGUUUAAGAUUUUUUUUUUUAAAUGUGUUUUGCUUGCAUACUGUGUGUGUGCGCGCCCCGUGCCCGUUGGGGCCAGAAGAGGUCGUUGGAUAUUCUGAAACUGCAUCGUUCCUGCUUUCCAUCUCAACCAAACCUUCCUUCCUGGCUGUCUGGCCCUGCCCUUGUCGUGACUGACUUUCAGACCUGGCAGCCUCCUCAAUCACAGGAGCGGAGCAGGGCCCUUCGGUAGGGAACGAAUGACGUGGAGACCAACCACGCAGAAGAACCUCACCAGUUAAUAAGAAGGGAACCAAUCAACUGUUUCUCCUUCAGCCUUACAGGAUGCACUCAACUCGCCUAAGUGGACAAAUCAAAUACUUAUGCCCACAGGUGGAGAGAACCAACACUUGCAAGUCGUCCUCUGACCGCCACGUGCACACCACGACGCCCAUGUUUGAGCACAAAAAAAUCUAAGAAAACCUUAAAAAAAAAAAAAAUCACGGUUCAUUGGUGGUAACGUCCCAACUCCAGCUGCACCAAAAGACCAAAGCUUAAAUUCCAGAACCUCAAGAGUAGGCUGGAAGGAAGAAGGCAAUUAGGAUGGGAAGGUAUGUGAAAACCAGGGCGCUGGACAGUUGAAGGAAACAGGGAUGCCGAGGCUGGAAGGCUGGAGACCCCCAACAAUCAAAGGAUGCUAAGCAGCCAUCCGUGAAGAGCUCCGCACACAAUCUGUGCCGAACUCCUAUCAGAAGGACGGGCGCGGUAUCCUGAAGUUCUGCGAAGCUGGUGCCGAGGGCCUUUUCACUUCUAAAACCACUGCCUUGCUUUUCCUCUGAAGGAGGGCUACCUGCUUAGACCACAGGCCCAGUCACUCAUUCGGUAGUCUUUAAUGAGUGGCUACAGUAUGCCAGGCAGCGUGUGAGGUGGUAAGGUUGGCACAGCAGAAAACCCAUGUGGUGCCUGCUCUCCUACAUGUUCGCCUUGGGGGGUGAGGCGACGACCAGGUACUAAGCCAGUGAUUGUGUACACCUGUAUUUACAAGGGCAGCUCAAACGGAAAGAGACAAGCAAGAGUGGCAAGGGACGGUGUUGAGAGCAGCUAAAAAAAUCUAUCCAAGGUGUGUUUUCUGUACAGACUUGAACCCCACAGUAUGUAAUCAGGGCCCUUAACAGUGGAAGGAGCAGCCACGGCCGGAACUCUCAGUAGGAAGCGUGUUUGGCUCUGCUGGGCAGCUGGGAAGCUAUAAGAGCAUUUGUGAAGGGAGGCCUGGUGAGAUAGCUCAGUGGGUAAAAGGUACUUAACCUGAUGAACUGAGUUCAUUCCCGGGACCCCCACAUGGUAAAGGAGGGAAUUGACCCAGACAAGCUGUCCUGUGACCUCCACGGUUGCUCCACGGCAUAUGAGCGAAGGGACUUUACUGUGGGCCGCAAAUGGCCAUGUUUUCUGGUAUUAGUGGGAGACAGCCUAUGGAAUGCCGCUUUGAUUAUUAGCACAGGGACAACGAGACGUAGUCUGGUUUGGCUCCGGGCUUUUCCACUUAAGAACUGAGACAUUGGGCUGGAGAGAUGGCUCAGUGGUUAAGAGCACCGCCUGUUCUUCCAGAGGUCCUGAGUUCAAUUCCCAGCAACCACAUGGUGGCUCACAACCAUCUGUAAUGAGGUCUGGCGCCCUCUUCUGGUCUGCAGGUACACAUAUGGGCACAACACUGUAUAUGUAAGAAAUAAA